CCGUAGGUGAACCUGCGGAAGGAUCAUUAUUGAAUUUUUUGGUGGUGGAUUGUUGCUGGCCUUUGGGUAUGUGCACAUCCUCCUCUGAUUCUAUUCAUCCACCUGUGCACUUUUUGUAGGAGUUCUUUCAUCAGGUUUUGAACAGGUGCUCAUUACGAGUUAACUUGGGAAGGACUAGUUGAAAAGACUUCUAUGUUCUUAUAAACUAUUGAAGUAUGUUAUAGAAUGAUUUUGUUAUUGGGACUUUAUUGACCCUUUAAACUUAAUACAACUUUCAGCAACGGAUCUCUUGGCUCUCCCAUCGAUGAAGAACGCAGCGAAAUGCGAUAAGUAAUGUGAAUUGCAGAAUUCAGUGAAUCAUCGAAUCUUUGAACGCACCUUGCGCCCUCUGGUAUUCCGGAGGGCAUGCCUGUUUGAGUGUCAUUAAAUUCUCAACUUUAUAAGUUUUUACUUAUUAAAGCUUGGAUAUUGGAGGUUUGCAGGCGUUUGUCAGCUCCUCUUAAAUUUAUUAGUGGAACCCUGUUUUGUUGGUUUUCAACCUUGGUGUGAUAACUAUCUACAUUUUGGUUUGU
rnacentral:rRNA from 1 species